rnacentral:rRNA from 1 species
AGAGUUUGAUCCUGGCUCAGGACGAACGCUGGCGGCGUGCCUAAUACAUGCAAGUCGAACGAAGCUUUCUUUCACCGAAUGCUUGCAUUCACCGAAAGAAGCUUAGUGGCGAACGAGUGAGUAACACGUAGGCAACCUGCCCAAAAGAGGGGGAUAACACUUGGAAACAGGUGCUAAUACCGCAUAACCAUGAACACCGCAUGAUGUUCAUGUAAAAGACGGCUUUUACUGUCACUUUUGGAUGGGCCUGCGGCGUAUUAACUUGUUGGUGGGGUAACGGCCUACCAAGGUGAUGAUACGUAGCCGAACUGAGAGGUUGAUCGGCCACAUUGGGACUGAGACACGGCCCAAACUCCUACGGGAGGCAGCAGUAGGGAAUCUUCCACAAUGGACGAAAGUCUGAUGGAGCAACGCCGCGUGAAUGAAGAAGGCCUUCGGGUCGUAAAAUUCUGUUGUCAGAGAAGAACGUGCGUGAGAGUAACUGUUCACGUAUUGACGGUAUCUGACUAGAAAGCCACGGCUAACUACGUGCCAGCAGCCGCGGUAAUACGUAGGUGGCGAGCGUUGUCCGGAUUUAUUGGGCGUAAAGGGAACGCAGGCGGUCUUUUAAGUCUGAUGUGAAAGCCUUCGGCUUAACCGAAGUAGUGCAUUGGAAACUGGAAGACUUGAGUGCAGAAGAGGAGAGUGGAACUCCAUGUGUAGCGGUGAAAUGCGUAGAUAUAUGGAAGAACACCAGUGGCGAAAGCGGCUCUCUGGUCUGUAACUGACGCUGAGGUUCGAAAGCGUGGGUAGCAAACAGGAUUAGAUCCCCUGGUAGUCCACGCCGUAAACGAUGAGUGCUAAGUGUUGGAGGGUUUCCGCCCUUCAGUGCUGCAGCUAACGCAUUAAGCACUCCGCCUGGGGAGUACGGUCGCAAGACUGAAACUCAAAGGAAUUGACGGGGGCCCGCACAAGCGGUGGAGCAUGUGGUUUAAUUCGAAGCAACGCGAAGAACCUUACCAGGUCUUGACAUCUUCUGACAAUUCCAGAGAUGGAACGUUCCCUUCGGGGACAGAAUGACAGGUGGUGCAUGGUUGUCGUCAGCUCGUGUCGUGAGAUGUUGGGUUAAGUCCCGCAACGAGCGCAACCCUUAUUGUCAGUUGCCAUCAUUAAGUUGGGCACUCUGGCGAGACUGCCGGUGACAAACCGGAGGAAGGUGGGGAUGACGUCAAAUCAUCAUGCCCCUUAUGACCUGGGCUACACACGUGCUACAAUGGACGGUACAACGAGUCGCUAACUCGCGAGGGCAAGCUAAUCUCUUAAAGCCGUUCUCAGUUCGGAUUGCAGGCUGCAACUCGCCUGCAUGAAGUCGGAAUCGCUAGUAAUCGCGAAUCAGCAUGUCGCGGUGAAUACGUUCCCGGGCCUUGUACACACCGCCCGUCACACCAUGAGAGUUUGUAACACCCAAAGUCGGUGGGGUAACCUUUUGGAGCCAGCCGCCUAAGGUGGGACAGAUGAUUGGGGUGAAGUCGUAACAAGGUA